UACGUAGGGGGCAAGCGUUGUCCGGAUUUAUUGGGCGUAAAGAGCUCGUAGGUGGUUCGGUAAGUCGGAUGUGAAAUCUCCAGGCUCAACCUGGAGGGGUCAUUCGAUACUGCCGUGACUAGAGGUCGGUAGGGGAGUGUGGAAUUCCUGGUGGAGCGGUGAAAUGCGCAGAUAUCAGGAGGAACACCCAUGGCGAAGGCAGCAAACUGGUCAUCAACUGACGCUGAGGCGCGAAAGCGUGGGUAGCAAACAGG
rnacentral:rRNA from 1 species